AGAGUUUGAUCCUGGCUCAGAUUGAACGCUGGCGGCAUGCCUUACACAUGCAAGUCGAACGGCAGCACGGAGCUUGCUCUGGUGGCGAGUGGCGAACGGGUGAGUAAUAUAUCGGAACGUACCCUAGAGUGGGGGAUAACGUAGCGAAAGUUACGCUAAUACCGCAUACGAUCUAAGGAUGAAAGUGGGGGAUCGCAAGACCUCAUGCUCGUGGAGCGGCCGAUAUCUGAUUAGCUAGUUGGUAGGGUAAAAGCCUACCAAGGCAUCGAUCAGUAGCUGGUCUGAGAGGACGACCAGCCACACUGGAACUGAGACACGGUCCAGACUCCUACGGGAGGCAGCAGUGAGGAAUUUUGGACAAUGGGCGAAAGCCUGAUCCAGCAAUGCCGCGUGAGUGAAGAAGGCCUUCGGGUUGUAAAGCUCUUUUGUCAGGGAAGAAACGGUGAAAGCUAAUAUCUUUUGCUAAUGACGGUACCUGAAGAAUAAGCACCGGCUAACUACGUGCCAGCAGCCGCGGUAAUACGUAAGGUGCAAGCGUUAAUCGGAAUUACUGGGCGUAAAGCGUGCGCAGGCGGUUUUGUAAGUCUGAUGUGAAAUCCCCGGGCUCAACCUGGGAAUUGCAUUGGAGACUGCAAGGCUAGAAUCUGGCAGAGGGGGGUAGAAUUCCACGUGUAGCAGUGAAAUGCGUAGAUAUGUGGAGGAACACCGAUGGCGAAGGCAGCCCCCUGGGUCAAGAUUGACGCUCAUGCACGAAAGCGUGGGGAGCAAACAGGAUUAGA
rnacentral:rRNA from 1 species